GACGAACGCUGGCGGCGUGCUUAACACAUGCAAGUCGAACGAGUGGCGGACGGGUGAGUAAUGCUUGGGAAUCUAGCUUAUGGAGGGGGAUAACUACGGGAAACUGUAGCUAAUACCGCGUACCAUAGGAUGAGCCCAAGUGGGAUUAGGUAGUUGGUUAGGUAAAGGCUCACCAAGCCGACGAUCUCUAGCUGGUCUGAGAGGAUGACCAGCCACACGGGGACUGAGACACGGCCCAGCAGCCUACGGGAGGCAGCAGUGGGGAAGAUUGGGCAAUGGGGGGAACCUGACGCAGCCAUGCCGCGUGAAUGAAGGAGGCCUUCGGGUUGUAAAGUUCUUUCGGUAGCGAGGCGUUAACUACAGAAGAAGCACCGGCUAACUCCGUGCCAGCAGCCGCGGUAAUAC
rnacentral:rRNA from 1 species